UUUUUCUAUGUCAUAUGAUCAAAUGUAAUGGUAUUAUGAUAAAUUGCUUAUCGCAGCUUAUCAUAUCCCGUGUGUUCCAACCUGGUGUACAUUUUAAUUAAAUUAUUAAAAAAUUAUAGAUAAUUUUAUUGAUUAAUAUAUUAUAUUUAUACAGCAGUGUAUAAAAGUAAUAGUUAUAGUAAUUUUGAGCCCAAUACUGUUUAUAAUAUUAUGAUUAAAUCUGUAUUUCUGUCAUAGUUUUACUAAAAGCUAAUAAAACAAAAAACACGUCUUAGUUUAAUGGUUACGGAUGCAGCCAUUGUUAUAGGUAGUUGAAUGUACUAAUAAAAAUUUUAUUUAGAAGAAUUGCUAUCAUUAGAAAUUGGAUCUAAUUUUUUGGUGUAAAUGUUACCCUCAGAAAAAAAAAUCGUUUUAUCAUAUAAAUAUGUUUAAUUAAAUUAAUUUAAUUUAAUUUAAUUUAAUAAAAUUUAGAUGAAUUCGAUGAUUUAUUCUUUUGUUACGGUACAUAAGCCCGUAAUCUGCAUUGAAAACUAUAAUUAUACUGAACCAGUUUUACAAAGAGACGGUAACAUCCCAUCAAUUCGUAACCUCAAACAGGGAUUCUCGUUUCUUUACUGACCAGCGUCAAACUUCAUUCAACGUCCGUUCAAUUGGAUCAGAAUUGUUUCAACUACAAGAAAUUAAAUAAACUAAUUUGGUAACAUUAUUCGUCACGUAUUAUAAUGAAGUUGAUGUUUAUUAUUAGUUCGCUGUGUUAUAUUGUAUUACUGUAUGUAUUUUCAACGAAUGGCGAAGGCCAUUGUGGCGAUGACUGUAUUAUAGUAACCCCAUUAAUAGGCCCCGCAGACUGUUUUAGUGAACGUACAAAGAAAAAGCUGUGUACUUAUUCACCACCAGGGUGCUCAUGUUGUUGUCCCCCCUAAAAACUGCGUUAAAAAUACAUACCUAUGAAAAAUAAAAAUGAAAUAUAU